rnacentral:rRNA from 1 species
AGCGAACGCUGGCGGCAGGCCUAACACAUGCAAGUCGAGCGCCCCGCAAGGGGAGCGGCAGACGGGAGAGUAACACGUGGGAACGUACCCUUCAGUUCGGAACAACCCAGGGAAACUUGGGCUAAUACCGGAUACGUCUGAAAGGAGAAAGAUUUAUCGCUGAAGGAUAGGCCCGCGUCUGAUUAGCUAGUUGGUGGGGUAACGGCCCACCAAGGCGACGAUCAGUAGCUGGUCUGAGAGGAUGAUCAGCCUCACUGGGACUGAGACACGGCCCAGACUCCUACGGGAGGCAGCAGUGGGGAAUAUUGGACAAUGGGCGCAAGCCUGAUCUAGCCAUGCCGCGUGGAUGAUGAAGGCCCUAGGGUUGUAAAGUCCUUUCGGCGGGGAAGAUAAUGACGGUACCCGCAGAAGAAGCCCCGGCUAACUUCGUGCCAGCAGCCGCGGUAA